UGGGGAAUAUUGCACAAUGGGCGAAAGCCUGAUGCAGCAACGCCGCGUGAGUGAUGAAGGUCUUCGGAUUGUAAAGCUCUGUCUUUUGGGACGAUAAUGACGGUACCAAAGGAGGAAGCCACGGCUAACUACGUGCCAGCAGCCGCGGUAAUACGUAGGUGGCGAGCGUUGUCCGGAUUUACUGGGCGUAAAGGGUGCGUAGGCGGAUGUUUAAGUGAGAUGUGAAAUACCCGGGCUUAACUUGGGUGCUGCAUUUCAAACUGGAUAUCUAGAGUGCAGGAGAGGAGAAUGGAAUUCCUAGUGUAGCGGUGAAAUGCGUAGAGAUUAGGAAGAACACCAGUGGCGAAGGCGAUUCUCUGGACUGUAACUGACGCUGAGGCACGAAAGCGUGGGUAGCAAACAGGAUUAGAUACCCUGGUAGUCCACGCCGUAAACGAUGAGUACUAGGUGUAGGAGGUAUCGACCCCUUCUGUGCCGCAGUAAACACAUUAAGUACUCCGCCUGGGAAGUACCGAUCGCAAGAUUAAAACUCUAAAGUGAUUGACGGGGU
rnacentral:rRNA from 1 species